rnacentral:rRNA from 1 species
AUUGAACGCUGGCGGCAUGCCUUACACAUGCAAGUCGAACGGUAACAGGUCUUCGGAUGCUGACGAGUGGCGAACGGGUGAGUAAUACAUCGGAACGUGCCCGAUCGUGGGGGAUAACGAGGCGAAAGCUUUGCUAAUACCGCAUACGAUCUACGGAUGAAAGCGGGGGAUCUUCGGACCUCGCGCGGACGGAGCGGCCGAUGGCAGAUUAGGUAGUUGGUGGGAUAAAAGCUUACCAAGCCGACGAUCUGUAGCUGGUCUGAGAGGAUGAACAGCCACACUGGGACUGAGACACGACCCAGACUCCUACGGGAGGCAGCAGUGGGGAAUUUUGGACAAUGGGCGAAAGCCUGAUCCAGCCAUGCCGCGUGCAGGAUGAAGGCCUUCGGGUUGUAAACUGCUUUUGUACGGAACGAAAAGCCUCUUUCUAAUAAAGAGGGGUCAUGACGGUACCGUAAGAAUAAGCACCGGCUAACUACGUG